UUUCUUUUUAAACAAAGAGAUUCUGAUUGUAUUUAUUACACAUGUCAAGAGAAACUAAAACACAGGGGAUAUUCAUCAUCUCUAAAAACACACUAUAAAUUCAGCUAACAAAAGCAUUCAAAUAGGUAUAAUACUGUUAGGAACAGACUAAGACAUUUAUCUUAAUCCCUCCUCCCCCAACAAAACCAAACGCCAACAUCCACGAUUUCUACUUAGCAAUGAGUAAACCAGCCUGCAAGCAGCUAGAUGUAGAGGUGGAUGUAGUAGCCUGCUAUUUCAGGUAACAACCACACAGUGCUCACUGCUAACUGGUUCUUAGCUGUAGAAGCACUUCUAUAUUUUGGGUAAUGUGUGUGCUACUCUUUCAAUAGUUGCAGUUCCCGUUAAAACAUUAACCCCUGCCUUCAGGCAACCUGCAGAAAACCAGAGUCUUUUAGAUAAAACCACCACCAUCCUCUUUCAUUAAAAUGCAAGAAAUGAUCUGCAGUACCUGUCCAGGGCAGUGGCCACACUCUUCUUUCCCCUGCAGAUUCCAGACAGGAACACAGGUCCGUAAUGGAAACUUAUAACACAAUAUUGUUCUUUGUUAUUUGCCUGGGAAAUGUCUGUAAUGUUUCUUUGUACUGACAACUCAAAGCAACUGUAGACUGCUUGUGUCUCCCAUGCUUUGUUCUGUCCUCCUAGUAUUGCCUUUAUGUAGCUCAAGAGAAGGAAGAAAAAGAAAAUGCUGAAUUUAAAGCAGAACUCUAAGCUGGAUUUUAAGCAGUGCACCUUGGUGUCAGCGUUCUGGUUAAGGGAAGCAGAGAGCCUGGAGCAGAGGAAGCAGUGAGAGGUUAAUCAAACUGGUCCUGGGAUCCAUCUGUCUCACCCACCAAAACCAAGAGUGAGCAGAGGACAUGGCUGUUCGAAACACUGAUGGUGUAACUGUGGUGUUCAACUCCUGUUAAAGAACACCCAGCACAACACUGCUACCAUAUCUGGGCUCCCAAGGCAUUUGUAAAUUGAGGAUGGGAGGCUAUGUAUGCAAAAAGGAUCGCAGACUUCCAGCCCUGCUAGAGAGAAGCCUGUCCUUCAAAGCUGCUCUGAACCCUGGGUGUGCCUACAAGAGCAGGUUCUCCUCCCAUUGACUCAUUCGUGAUCAAACAAACCAAGAUGUGAGCUGGCAUCAGGAAGCUCGAGCUGCCCUGCAGAGACUCUGUGGCUAUGUCACCACCUAUCUCUUUCCAGUCCUGUCUAGCCAUAUUUAAAUCUAAUACUAGGUUGUCCCUGGGCC
rnacentral:lncRNA from 1 species